rnacentral:pre_miRNA from 1 species
UGACCUCACACGUGGCUGUGACGUCAUGACUCUAUCGACCCGCUAAAUUUAGCCGGUCGAUAGGGUCAUGACGUCACAGCCAGGUGUGACGUCAC